rnacentral:rRNA from 1 species
AGAGUUUGAUCCUGGCUCAGGAUGAACGCUGGCGGCGUGCCUAAUACAUGCAAGUCGAACGAGGGCACUCGCGUAGCAAUACGAGGGUGUUCCUAGUGGCGAACGGGUGCGUAACACGUGGGUGACCUGCCCCGAAGUGAGGGACAACGCCGCGAAAGCGGCGCUAAUACCUCCUGUGAUCCAGGGAGCUAGACGGCCCUGGAUGAGAGGCGCAAGCCGCUUCGGGAGGGGCCUGCGGCCCAUCAGCUAGUUGGUAGGGUAAUGGCCUACCAAGGCGAUGACGGGUAGGGGGCCUGAGAGGGUGGCCCCCCACACUGGCACUGAAACACGGGCCAGACACCUACGGGUGGCAGCAGUAGGGAAUAUUGCACAAUGGGCGAAAGCCUGAUGCGGCAACGCCGCGUGCGCGAUGAAGGCCUUCGGGUCGUAAAGCGCUUUUCGGGGGGAUGAGGAAGGACAGUACCCCCGGAAUAAGUCUCGGCUAACUACGUGCCAGCAGCCGCGGUAAAACGUAGGAGGCAAGCGUUAUCCGGAUUCACUGGGCGUAAAGCGCAUGUAGGCGGUCCGGUAAGUCGGACGUGAAAGCUCCUGGCUCAACUGGGAGAGGCCGUUCGAAACUACCAGACUCGAGGGCAGUAGAGGGAGGUGGAAUUCCGGGUGUAGCGGUGAAAUGCGUAGAUAUCCGGAGGAACACCAGUGGCGAAGGCGGCCUCCUGGACUGUCCCUGACGCUCAGAUGCGAAAGCUAGGGGAGCGAACGGGAUUAGAAACCCCGGUAGUCCUAGCUGUAAACGAUGCGGACUUGGUGUUGGUGGCUUAAACUCCAUCAGUGCCGAAGCUAACGCGUUAAGUCCGCCGCCUGGGGACUACGGCCGCAAGGCUAAAACUCAAAGGAAUUGACGGGGGCCCGCACAAGCAGCGGAGCGUGUGGUUCAAUUCGAGGCUACGCGAAGAACCUUACCAGGGCUUGACAUGCACGUGGUAGGAAUCCGAAAGGUGACCGACCCUUCGGGGAGCGUGCACAGGUGCUGCAUGGCUGUCGUCAGCUCGUGCCGUGAGGUGUCCGGUUAAGUCCGGUAACGAGCGCAACCCUUGCCCUGUGUUACAUGUGUCACAGGGGACCGCCGGUAUCAAGCCGGAGGAAGGUGGGGAUGACGUCAAGUCAGCAUGGCCUUUAUGUCCUGGGCUACACACACGCUACAAUGGCCGGUACAAUGGGUUGCAAAGCCGCGAGGCGGAGCCAAUCCUCCAAAGCCGGUCUCAGUUCGGAUCGUAGGCUGCAACCCGCCUGCGUGAAGUCGGAGUUGCUAGUAACCGCAGGACAGCUAUACUGCGGUGAAUACGUUCCCGGGCCUUGUACACACCGCCCGUCACGUCAUGGGAGCUGGCAACACCUGAAGUCGGUGACCCAACCGCAAGGAGGGAGCCGCCUAAGGUGGGGCUGGUGACUGGGACGAAGUCGUAACAAGGUAACC